GGUCUACACUAGGGGUGUUAUUUAACUGAGAUGAGUCCUACUCAAACCCUUUGAACCUGAACUAGUUAAUACUAGCGUAGGAAAGUGUCAAUUCUAUACA
rnacentral:ncRNA from 2 species